rnacentral:tRNA from 1 species
GGGGUUGUGGCUCAGUGGUAGAGUGCUUGCCUAGCAUGCAUGAAGUACUGGGUUCCAUCCUCAGCACCACA